GAUGAACGCUGGCGGCGUGCCUAAUACAUGCAAGUCGAGCGAACGGACGAGAAGCUUGCUUCUCUGAUGUUAGCGGCGGACGGGUGAGUAACACGUGGAUAACCUACCUAUAAGACUGGGAUAACUUCGGGAAACCGUAGCUAAUACCGGAUAAUAUUUUGAACCGCAUGGUUCAAAAGUGAAAGACGGUCUUGCUGUCACUUAUAGAUGGAUCCGCGCUGCAUUAGCUAGUUGGUAAGGUAACGGCUUACCAAGGCAACGAUGCAUAGCCGACCUGAGAGAGUGAUCGGCCGCACUGGAGCUGAGACACGGACCAGACUCCUACGGGAGGCAGCAGUAGGGAAUCUUCCGCAAUGGGCGAAAGCCUGACGGAGCAGCGCCGCGUGAGUGAUGAAGAUCUUCGGAUCGGAAAACUCUGUUAUGAGGGAAGAACAUAUGUGUAAGUAACUGUGCAGAUCUUGACGGUACCUAAUCAGAAAGCCACGGCUAACUACGUG
rnacentral:rRNA from 1 species